rnacentral:rRNA from 1 species
UACGGGGGGGGCAAGCGUUGUUCGGAAUUACUGGGCGUAAAGGGCGCGUAGGCGGCCACCGCAAGUCGGUUGUGAAAUCUCUGGGCUUAACCCAGAAAGGUCAACCGAUACUGCGGGGCUAGAGUGCAGAAGGGGCAACUGGAAUUCUCGGUGUAGCGGUGAAAUGCGUAGAUAUCGAGAGGAACACCUGCGGCGAAGGCGGCACUCUGGGACGGUACUGACGCUGAGACGCGAAAGCGUGGGGAGCGAACAGG